rnacentral:tRNA from 1 species
GCCAGCAUAGCAUAGUGGUUUGAGUGUUGAACUAUGACUCUGGAGACCAGGGUUCAAUUCCCCACUCAGCCA